GGAUGAUUAAUUAUUUGCAUGAAGGUUCAGAGAAUGGCCUUUAUUGCCUUACAGUCCAACUGGUAAACAGAACAGUGCCUUACAUAAGCACUAAUGGCGAUCUUAUAUACUUAUAUGUAUAUGUUUUCUUUAUGCAGAACACGUGAGAAAUCACUGAUGCGCAUGGCUGACAGCUUUUGCACGAUGAAGUAAAAUUGGCAGGUGCUUUUCUCUACUUUCUAAUAUUAUCCAUAUAUCACAGGGCAAAGAUAGGUAGUUUUAGCAGGGAUUAGUGGUUCAUCGCAAUUUUUCUAGCUUCUUUUGUCCUCCAAAUGAUACAGAAGGCAGUCAAGUUCCAUCCUCUAAUUUCUUGUGAUCUUUGUAGGACCAAUUAGGAUGCAUACCCGAAGGAGUGAAUCUACUGGUUCAGCUGAAAAUUGAUCUCUAUUUGGUUUCUGUUUUUGCGUUUGGUUUUGCCGGCCGCUCGUCCUUGGUAUGCUCAUCCAUCUUGGCUGCUCUGCUUGCCUGCUUCUCCUGUCUAACUCAGGUUCUGCGAUCUCUUGUGUUGCUGCGUCCCGAUCUUCUUCUUUGUUGCAUCGCUGUUCUGUCAUCGAGAGGACGUGUCUGUACUUGCUGGGGUGGAAUUCAAAUUGUGAGGGAUGGUUGUGCUUAGAUUUGGUCGCUGUUGGUCGGUUCUUGACUUUAGCGCAUGAAAACCUGCAACUGCUAUCAAGCGAACCA